UCAGACAUGGUGUAGGCUGGCAACACCGCUUCUAAUUAUGCGUUGUCGCGUAGUACGCUCGAAGAAGCAGUGCGGGGUUCGAAUCCCUGUGUCUGAA